GAUGAACGCUGGCGGCGUGCCUAAUACAUGCAAGUCGAGCGAACAGACGAGGAGCUUGCUCCGCUGACGUUAGCGGCGGACGGGUGAGUAACACGUGGAUAACCUACCUAUAAGACUGGGAUAACUUCGGGAAACCGGAGCUAAUACCGGAUAAUAUAUUGAACCGCAUGGUUCAAUAGUGAAAGACGGUUUUGCUGUCACUUAUAGAUGGAUCCGCGCCGCAUUAGCUAGUUGGUAAGGUAACGGCUUACCAAGGCACCGAUGCGUAGCCGACCUGAGAGGGGGAUCGGCCACACUGGAACUGAGACACGGUCCAGACUCCUACGGGAGGCAGCAGUAGGGAAUCUUCCGCAAAGGGCGAAAGCCUGACGGAGCAACGCCGCGUGAGUUAUGAAGGUCUUCGGAUCGUAAAACUCUGUUAUUAGGGAAGAACAAAUGUGUAAGUAACUAUGCACGUCUUGACGGUACCUAAUCAGAAAGCCACGGCUAACUACGUG
rnacentral:rRNA from 1 species